rnacentral:rRNA from 1 species
GACGAACGCGGGCGGCGUGCUUAACACAUGCAAGUCGAACGCUGAAGGCUCAGCUUGCUGGGCUGGAUGAGUGGCGAACGGGUGAGUAACACGUGAGUAACCUGCCCUCUUCUUUGGGAUAACGGUCGGAAACGGCUGCUAAUACCGGGUAUUCACUGUCCUUCGCAUGGGGGGUGGUGGAAAGGUUUUUUCUGGUGGGGGAUGGGCUCGCGGCCUAUCAGCUUGUUGGUGGGGUGAUGGCUUACCAAGGCUUUGACGGGUAACCGGCCUGAGAGGGUGACCGGUCACAUUGGGACUGAGAUACGGCCCAGACUCCUACGGGAGGCAGCAGUGGGGAAUAUCGCACAAUGGGCGAAAGCCUGAUGCAGCGACGCCGCGUGAGGGAUGAAGGCCUUCGGGUUGUAAACCUCUUUCGCUCAUGGUCAAGCCGCAACUCAAGGUUGUGGUGAGGGUAGUGGGUAAAGAAGCACCGGCUAACUACGUGCCAGCGGCCGCGGUAAUACGUAGGGUGCGAGCGUUGUCCGGAAUUAUUGGGCGUAAAGGGCUUGUAGGCGGUUUGUCGCGUCUGCCGUGAAAUCCUCUGGCUUAACUGGGGGCGUGCGGUGGGUACGGGCAGACUUGAGUGCGGUAGGGGAGACUGGAACUCCUGGUGUAGCGGUGGAAUGCGCAGAUAUCAGGAAGAACACCGGUGGCGAAGGCGGGUCUCUGGGCCGUUACUGACGCUGAGGAGCGAAAGCGUGGGGAGCGAACAGG